CAGGUCUGUGAUGCCCUUAGAUGUCCUGGGCCGCACGCGCGCUACACUGACACACGCAACGAGUUCUCCUUGUCCGAAAGGUCUGGGUAAUCUUGUAAAUGUGUGUCGUGAUUGGGAUAGAUUAUUGCAAUUAUUAAUCUUGAACGAGGAAUUCCUAGUAAAUGCGGGUCAUCAGCUCGCGUUGAUUACGUCCCUGCCCUUUGUACACACCGCCCGU
rnacentral:rRNA from 1 species